CCGACUGUGCCACAGGACUCCCAGGGCUGCUGUGUUGAGAACCUGUGAAGCAGGACGUGGGAAGCGGGAGGCCAUAUAUGAGGUUCCUACAAUAAUCGAGAUGAGAUGCGGCCCCUCUGUGUCUGUGUCGGCAGAAUUCUAAGAUGGCCAACAAGACUCCUGCCCCUGGUGUAUAAAUCCUGAAUAACACCCUCCCCUCGAGUGUGAAAGGAACUUGUAUAAGACAGAGGGGUUAACAGAUGUAAUCAAAAUUUCUAAUUAGUGGACUUUAAAUUAAUGAAAGAGAUGAUCCUGGGCAGGUCUGGUCUAAUCAGAAGAGCUCAUGCGAGACAGCAGAGAGAUCUGAAGUGAUUCUCCUGCUGGCCUUGAAGAAGCAAACAACCAUGUUGUGAACCGCUUGUAGAAGAGGCCAUGUGGCAAGGACCCGAGGGUGACCAGAGUGUCCCUGACCAACAGCCAGCAGCAAGAAGCUGGGACUUCAACAACUGCAAGGAAGAAAAUUCUGCCAACAACCAGUGAGAGUGGAAGAAGAACCUAAGUCUCAGAGGGGAUUGAGCCCUUGCUGACAGCUUGAAUUCAGCCCGAUGAGAGCCUCAGCAGAAAACCCAGCUAACCCAUACCCAGAUUUCCGAUCCAUGGAAACUAUGAGAUAAUAAAUAUAUGUUGUUUUAAGCGA